GCAUUCUCUAUUUGCAACUCUAUUGAAAUGAAUAAAACGACACAUUUCCGCAAGAAUUUGAAAAAGUUUAGCUCACAAGUGAAGACCACUUAUAUCUAUAUAAAUAAAAAUCUGAGAUAUAUAGGUACAUAAUUGCUUCAGUGAAUCGAUGAAGAGCUUAUACAAGUAGCCGAUAAUAGUCAUAGAGAUGUUAUAAUGUGUAGAACAGGAACUAAUUAGUAGUAAUCUAACUUGUAUUGUUACAAUUAUUCCUAGCUAUAAUUUUCUUGUAAAUAAACCGAUCAAAGGAGGCUAAAUGGUCGAUAAUUUUUUAUAAGUGAAAAGGCUUUCCCACUUUUGUAGUAGUUGAUUGAGCUUGUUGUUAUUCAAUGUUCUAUUUAAUCUGUGUAAUAGGUUUUCAAGUAUCAGUUAAUUAUUUUAGUUAUGCUUAUGUGAUAUUUUUCUUUUUCCAUUAAGAAUAUGUUUAAAACUUUAAACAUCUUUAAAACUCAUUAAAAUAUUAUUCUUUAGUUUCAUUAGGUACUCAACAAUUAUCCUUCUAUAUAUAUUAUUCAUGUUUAUGAAAUACCUUAUUUCUGAGUUUUUUUAUGAAAUUUAUCUUUAUCUUAGAUGAACUCACCUGAAAGAUACGAUCAUAUAUCUUGGAUUGGUUCAUCUAAAAAACAAGAGAUUGAAAAGAAUAAGAAGAAGAAUACACAGGAAUUUGUAGUAGAGGAGAAGCUCCAGUCGAAUAUGAAGAACACCAAAUUCUACAUAGAUGAGAGAAAUAAACGAGUCCUUACAAGCUUCUGCAUUAAAAAAGAUUAUGUUUGUCUUGAAAGGAUAAAUAGAAGAUUUGUAAAUAUUUUGGAUGGCCUAGAGUUGCACGUAGGCAUUUUUAAUUCUAUGGAAUAAAAAGAAAUUGUGCAAUUUAUUUAUGAUUUGCAAAACAGGGGAAGGAAGAAUGAACUUGGAGAUCAUACAUAUUCUGAACCAAAAAAAUGGAUGCGUGGCAAAGGAAGAGUUACAAUACAAUUCGGAUGUUGUUAUAACUACGCGG